UAGCCAGACUCCUACGGGAGGCAGCAGUGGGGAAUAUUGCACAAUGGGGGAAACCCUGAUGCAGCAACGCCGCGUGAAGGAAGACGGUUUUCGGAUUGUAAACUUCUGUUCUUAGUGAAGAAGAAUGACGGUAGCUAAGGAGCAAGCCACGGCUAACUCCGUGCCAGCAGCCGCGGUAAUACGGAGGAUGCGAGCGUUAUCCGGAUUUAUUGGGUUUAAAGGGUGCGUAGGCGGGACGUUAAGUCAGCGGUAAAAAUGCGGAGCUCAACUCCGUCGAGCCGUUGAAACUGCCGUUCUUGAGUGAGCGAGAAGUAUGCGGAAUGCGUGGUGUAGCGGUGAAAUGCAUAGAUAUCACGCAGAACUCCGAUUGCGAAGGCAGCAUACCGGCGCUCAACUGACGCUGAAGCACGAAGGCGUGGGUAUCGAGCAGGAUUAGAUACCCGCGUACA
rnacentral:rRNA from 1 species